rnacentral:rRNA from 1 species
UACGGAAGGCAGCAGUGGGGAAGUAUUGCACAAUGGGCGCAAGCCUGAUGCAGCCAUGCCGCGUGUAUGAAGAAGGCCUUCGGGUUGUAAAGUACUUUCAGUCGUGAGGAAGGUGUUAAGGUUAAUAACCUUAGCAAUUAGACGUUAGCGACAGAAGAAGCACCGGCUAACUCCGUGCCAGCAGCCGCGGUAAUACGGAGGGUGCGAGCGUUAAUCGGAAUUACUGGGCGUAAAGGGCACGCAGGCGGUUAAUUAAGUUGGAUGUGAAAUCCCCGGGCUUAACCUGGGAAUGGCAUUCAAGACUGGUUAGCUAGAGUCUUGUAGAGGGGGUAGAAUUCCAUGUGUAGCGGUGAAAUGCGUAGAGAUGUGGAGGAAUACCGGUGGCGAAGGCGGCCCCUGGACAAAGACUGACGCUCAUGUGCGAAAGCGUGGGGAGCAAACAGGGAUUAGAUACC